CUACGGAGGGUGCAAGCGUUGUGCGGAAUCACUGGGCGUAAAGCGCGUGUAGGCGGCAUCGUCAGUUGGAUGUGAAAGCCCUCGGCUCAACCGAGGAAGUGCAUCCAAUACUGCGAAGCGAGAGUGUCGGAGGGGGUGGCGGAAUUCCUGGUGUAGAGGUGAAAUUCGUAGAUAUCAGGAGGAACACCUGUGGCGAAGGCGGCCACCUGGACGAUAACUGACGCUGAGACGCGAAAGCGUGGGUAGCAAACAGGAUUAGAAACCCUAGUAGUCC
rnacentral:rRNA from 1 species